AUAUAGAGUCUCACUCUGUGGUCCAGGCUGAAGUACAGUGGCAUGAUCCCAGGUCACUGCAACCCCCACCUCCCGGGUUCAAGUGAUCCUCCUGCCUCAGCCUCCCGAGUAGCUGGUAUUACAGGCGUGUGCCACAAAGCCUGGCUAAGUUUUGUAUUUUUAGUAGAGACGGGGUUUCACCAUGUUGGCCAGGUUGGUCUCGAACUCCUGACCUCAAGUGAUCCACUCACUUUGGCCUUUCAACGUGCUGGGAUUACAGGCGAGAGUCACCGCACCCGGACGACUCUGACAUUUUUGAAGAGUCCAGAAUCCUGUUACACCUGGGAUUUAGGCACUUUCAAUCUGAAAAAAUACAUAUCCUUUCAGCACUCUGGACGGACUUGAGAACUGUCCUUACGUGACCUAAAGCUGGAGUAUUUUGAGAUUGGAGAAUUAAGGCCUUCAGUGGGUUGAAUGAGGCCCAACCCACAUUGAAGAGGACCAUCUGCUUUACUCAGUCUCCUGGUUGAAGUGAUAAUCUCAUCUGGACAUACUCAGAAAUGCUGUUUAACCAGCUCUCUGGAAAUCCUGUGGCCCAGUCAAGUUGACACACAAAAUUAACCAUCACACUGCAGAGACACAGUCUAUCCCAAUACCUGUAUUUACUGGAGUGUGGGCACCCUGGCUUCAAGCUCACGAGAAACCAGAAAGUGCUGGGAUUACAGGAGUGAGCCACCGAGCCUGGCCGCUUCCGGUCUUUGGAUUUGAUUUUCCUCAAGUGUAAUUGAAAGCAGGGGCCUGGAUGGCCGCCAUAGUCCCUCCCAGCUUCGACAUUACACAUUCCUGCCAAUCCAUUUUUCAGGCUGAUAACAUUGUUCAGAGUUUAAUGGGAGCAGGGUAAGAUAGUCACCGUGUGGAGCAAAAAUUGAAGGAAAUAUUCCAGAUGUCAUGAUUUUUUACCUGUAGCCCCUCUGCUGCCACACCCUUGUGCACAUCCUCCAGACACUUUUAAAGAAUAAACUCUAUUUUCAGAAGAGUUUUAGAUUUACAGGAGAAUUGUGAAAACAGUUCAAAAAGUUCUCAUAUACCCUGCUCCCAGUUUUCCCUGUUACUAACGCUUUGCAUUAGUGUGGCACAUUUGCCACAAUUAAUGGACCAAUAUUGAUACAUUAUUAUUUACUGAAGUUGAAACAUUACUUUAGUUUUUACCUGGUCCAGGAUCCCAUCUGGGAUCCCACAUCACAUUUAGUGAUCAUGUCUUCUUAGAUUGCCCUGGGCUGUGCCGCUUUCUCAGACUCUCCUGGUUUGUGAUGACAUUGACAGUCUUGAGUUUUGAUGACCAGUUUUGACUGGUCAGGUAUUUCAUAGAACGUACCUCUGUGAGGGUUGUCUGAUUCUUCUUCUUAUUAGAUUGGGAUUAUGGAGGAAGGCCACAGAGGUAAAGUUCCGCUUUUAUGAAAUCAAGGGUAGGCACCAUCAGCAUGACCUAUCACUGAUGUUGACUUUGAUUACCUGGCUGCUGUAGUGGUUGUCAGGUUUGUCCACUUUAAAGAUACUUUUGUGUUUUUGUUCUUUCUUAACUCCCUUUUUAUAUUAAACUCUUCAGAAGGAAGUCACUGUGCAUAGCCAUCCCCUAAGAAGAGGGCAUUCCUGCUCUUCCUUCUCCAUGGCUAGAGGAUCUACAUGAACUAUUUAGAUUUUUUCUACCUGGGAGAUUUAACUCCUCUCUCCUAUUUAUUUAUUUAUAUAUCAGCAUGGACUUGCAGAUUGGGAACUCUUCAGUUACUUCCUGUGCCCAUUUGACAUACUUUCUUAUUAUGGGUCUUUCUUUCUUCCUUUUCUUUCCUUCUUUCUUUCUCUCUCUCUCUCUCUCUCUCUUCCUUCCUUCCCUUCCUCCCUCCCUCUUUUCUUUUCUUUUUUCUUUUCUUUCCUUCCUUCCUCCCUCCCUCACUCCCUCCUUCCUUCCUUUUUCUUCCUUUUUUCCUUCCUUCCUUCCCUCCCUUCCUCUUUUCUUUCUUCUUUCUUUCUUUCUUUCCUUCCUUUCUCCUUCCUUCCUUCCUUUUCUUCCUUUCUUUUCCUACCUUCCUUUUCCUUCCUUCCUUUCUUCCUUCCUUUCCUCCUUCCUCUUCUCCUCCUCCCCUUCCUUCCUUCCUUCCUUCCUUCCUUCCCUCCCUCCCUCUCUCUCUCUCUCUCUCUUUUUUUGGUGCAUCCAUACUUUCUGGCACUAUAAGAUGCUUAGGGCUUAUCUUGUAUAUUUCCAGCCCCAGUUAUAGAAUCAGCCAUUUCUUCAAGGAUCCCCUGUCAUUUUACUGGAGAAAGGACUUAGAAUCCAAGAUCUGGGUGCUAGAUGUGCUUGAGGUGUUGUUUCCUCCAGAUCUUCUCAACUGACAGAGCAGUGAAAUAUAUGUGUGUAGGGAGGAUGGGGAGAACAAUUUUUUUAACACAUAUGAAUACUUACCUGGCAGGGGAGAUACCAUGAUCACAAAGGUGGUUUCCCCAGGGUGAGGCUUAUCCAUUGCACUCCCGAUGUGCUGACCCCUGUGAUUCCCCCAAAUGUGGGAGACUUGACUGCAUAAUUUGUGGUAAUGGGGGACUGCAUUUACACUUUUCCCUGUAAAAAUUUUUAAAAAUAAAUAAAUACAUAAAUAAAUAAAUGUGUGUAUAUGAAUCCAUGUGCAUGCACGUAUGUGUAAAUAUUUCUCCAGGUAUCCAUCUUAUCUAUGUUAAGCUAACUAUGAGUUUAUACUGCUGUCUCCAACUCUAAUUCAUUACCACAUUUCACCCAUUUUUUUUUUUUUUGAAAUGGAUUCUCACACUUUCGCCCAAGCUGGAGUGCAGUGGUGUGAUCUCGUCUCACUGCAACCUCGCUCUCCCAGGUUCAAGCGAUCCUCCUGCGUCAGCCUCCCGAGUAGCUGGGAUUACAGGUGCACACCACCACACCUGGCUAAUUUUUGUAUUUUUAGUAGAAACGGGGUUUCACCAUGUUGGCCAGGCUGGUCUCGACCUCCUGACCUCAGGUGAUCCACCCACUUCAGCCUCCCGAAGUGCUGGGGUUACAGGCGUGAGUCACCACGCCCGGCCCCCAUCCACUUUUAACAAACUUGUUUUCUUUUUGCCCACAUUGACUGACAAAAGAAGGUAAUGAACAGAGAUGUUGGAAAGUUCACGUGGGGCAAGAGGAGUGGGCUGAGAACAUUGGACUUUUCCCUAUGGUCAAUGUGGCCUCAUUCAACAAAAAUCAAGAUGAGUCAGAUGCAUGUAGAAAGAGACUCCGAAAUGUGUCCUGCCUAGAUGUUUGCAAACCGGGACUCUGUGUUAUGCUCACAGGCCUUUGAAUGUGUCUCUCCCUGGGCUUCAUGUGCCCUUGCUGGUUUCUGGACUGUCCUGUUCUGCUCCUGUCCUCCUACUGACAGCCUUUCCUGCUUUCCUUUCCCUCCCAUGCCACUCCCACUCCAUACAACCUCUUCCCCUGCACACUGCUCCUAGAACCCCUUGGUUAGCCCCAUCAGGGAUGUCCCUGCUUUCCUGGGACCCGAGGCACACAGAAUGAGGAUGAAACAGUUGACGUAUCAUGUAGUAUCCCCCACCUGGCUUCCUUCUCAGCCAGGCGUCCCAAACUCAAUUGUCUGCAGAGGCCAGGCAGGCAACAAAAAUAAGUGAUGUGGGCCUCCUGGGCAGUCAGGAGGGCUUGGUGCAGAACUGGAAGCACCAGAGGUAGCAAGGAACCAGGAGAUCAGGCCAGCACCUGCUCUGAAUGGUCAGGCACCUCCAUGGUUGCAUAGCAAAUCAGUUGUUGAGAAAUGUUUUGACUAUGGUCCUUGUGUAGGCCCAGUAUAAAGGGGGAAAUGGCCAGUCUGUGGCUGCUGAUUAUGGCCCUGAAAGUCUGCAGGCCCAGAAUGGCCAGACCUGGUUGUUCAAAGGAAAACUGGCAGGUGGGAAGGGCGGAGGGCCUUGCCCCUUCCCAUUUGCCUCCUGUGCCUGACAGUGUCACCGUAGCAAUACUUUCCUGGCAGCAGGACUUUGUCCCAUAACAAUAGUUGAUUUUAGUGUGUAGGGCUUUUGUUGUUGUUGUUUAUUCCAUACUUGGAACCAGCUGCGUUGUGCUACUAUCAGAGAUGACAGCCCAGCCUGGAGCUCUGCAAGGUCCUCCAGGCUUCUCAGUUCUGAUCAUUCCACCAGCAGAUCCCAUCACCAAAGGGGUGUACUUGCUUCAUGCAGCUGCUGCUUCUCCCAGACCUCAUUGUCCCCCUUGUGCCUUUUCCAUGUUCAAUACAGGAUUUGUUUUUUAUCUGAAAUUCUACCCGUUAAAACAUUUGGUAUGUUUCCUCUUCUCUUGUGAGGUGUAUUUCUGUAUUUCCUACCUUUGCAUCCUUUGCUCAGUUCAACUUGAAGCAGGUUUCCAAGCUCAUCACUUGGAGGCCCAGGGCAUUGCCACUGCCCCCCACCCCACCGCCUACCGCCCACCUGCAGGUCUGUGCCAGGAAGCCCUGCGUGCUGUCUGCACCCCGUUUGGCUGCUUGCCCACAACCAUGACUGCUCCUGAGGGGCUCGCCAGCAGCACUGUUUCCCAGCCUGCUGUGCAUAAAGGUGACGCUUCGGGUUUUCCACAGUGAACAAUGGUUCCCAGAGUGGGCAGGACUCCCUAGUGUCUGCAAGGGUGUGUGACCAUGCAGGGUGGAAACAACCUUGUCAAAAUAAACCAGGGCAGUGCUGAGGGGGGAAGUGAGGCUAGCUGGGGGGAAAUGUGGGCUGAGUGCUUCUUGGGGGGUUUCCUCUGUACCGGUGCCCAGCUGCCCAAGGGUCCCAGAAGGCAGAGGCUGACACACUUCCUGUGACCCUUUCAGACUCGCCAUUGGCCCCCACCAGAUCAGGAAUCUGUUUUCCCUUGUUGACCUUGAGCCACUCACAGAGUGGGAAAGGUUUGCCUAUGGAACGAAAACAGUCCUCCUUCCAUGAUUUCCCCUUUGCUCCCAUGUUCAUCCAUGUGGGCUGCUGUAACAAAAUCCCAUAAACUGGGUGGUUUACAAACAACAAAAAUUUAUUUCUCAUAGUUCUCAAAGCUAAAAGUCCAAGAUCAAUGCGCUGGGAGAUUUGGUGUCUGGUGAGAACCUGCUUCUUGGUUCAGUGUCUUCUUACCGCGUCCUCACAUGGAGGAAGGGGCGAGAAAGCUUUCUGGAGCCUCUUUUGUCAAGGCACUAAUCCCAUUCAUGAGGACUCAACACUCGUGACUGGAUCGCCUCCCAAAGCCCCUACCUCCAAAUCCCAUCACCUUGAGGGUUAGGAUUUCAACUAUGAACUUUGGGGAGACACCGACAUUCAGACUGUAGCAGCUCCCCAGCACAAUCCUGCUCGACCGAAUUCACCUUCCUGACCAGGCACGUCAACAAUCUUUCUGUCCCUCUGAUGCCAGAACGUUAUGUUUCUGAGGGUGAAACUUGAGUGAUUAAUUGACAGUAUUCCUCAGGAAUCCUUGCUGAUUGCUGAAUGCAUAAAUGAGUGAAAGACCUGGAUAAUCCCCAACAGGCGCCUGAGUCUCACAUCCGCCCUGGGUGAUUCCCCAUGGCCAGGGGCCCACCUCGGUUCCCAGGGAUCCAUGGGCAUGAUCAUUGUGAUGAGCCACUACUCUCCAAUCUGGCCUCUGCACCUGUGUGACAUUUUCCUCCCAUUGCUUUACAUGUUACUCUUUCUUAUUCAGUAGGAUGUGCAGAUUGGUCAGGGUGUGUAUUAGUUUCCUAGAGCUGCUAUAACAAAGUACCACAAACUAGGUUGCCCAAAACAACAGAAAUGUAUUCUCUCAUAGUUGUGGAAGCCAGAAGUCUGAAAUCAAAGAGUUGUGAGGGCUGUGUUCUCCCUGCAGAUGCCCAGAAAAAUCCUCCCUUUCUCUCUCCCGGCCUCUGCUGGAGGCUGGCCAUCCUUGGCGCUCUUUGGCUUGUCAUUGCAUCAUCCAAGUCUCUGCCUCCAUCCUCCUGUGUCCUCUCCUGUGUGUUUGUGUCCAAAUUUCCCUUUUCUUAGAAUUGCAUCUUCUCUAAACCAGCAUGACCUCAUCAUAACUUGAUUACAUCUGCAAAGACCCAAUUUCCAAAUAAGGCACAUUCACAGGUUCUGGGAGUUAGGACUUCAACAUAACACUUCUGGGGACACAGUUAAACCCACAACAGAGUAUAAGGAGAAAAUGUUACAACUUCCUUUCUCUUCUUUUUUUUCCUUUUCUUUUCUUUUUUUCUCUUCUUUCUUUUUCCUUCCUCCCUCCCUGUCUCCCUCCCUCUCUGCCUCCCUCCCUCCCUCCCUCUUCCUUCCUUCCUUCCUUCCUUCCUCCCUUCUUUUUUCUUUCUUUUUUUGACGGAGUCCUGCUCUUUGCCCAGGCUGGAGUGCAGUGGUGCAAUCUCGGCUUGCUGCAACCUCCAUCUCCCAGGCAGGUUCAAGUAAUUCUCCUGCCUAAGCCUCCCGAGUAGCUGGGACUACAGGCACCUACCACCACACCUUUUUUUUUUUUAGUAGAGACAGGAUUUCACUGUGUUAGACAAUCCUGCCUCCCUCCCUCCCUCCCUUUCUUCCUUCCUUCCUUCUUUCCUUCCUUCCUUCUUUCCCUCCUUCCUUCCUCUCUUCUCCUCUCCUCUCUUACCCUCCCCUCCCCUUCUGUCUCCUCUGCUCCCCUGCCCUCCCUUCUCCUCCUUCUCCUUCUCCUUUUUCUUCUUCUCUUUGUUGUCCAGGCUGGAGUACAGUGGAAGGAUCAUGGCCCACUGUAGCCUAGACAUCCCAGGCUGAAAUGAUCCUCUCUCCUCAGCCUCCCAAGUACCUGGGACUACAGGUAUGUGUUCCCAUGCCUGACUAGUUUUUGUAUUUUUUGUAGAGACAGGAUUUCAUCAUGUUGCCCAGGCUGGUCUUGAAGAUAUCUGCUUGCCUCUGCCUCCCAAAGUACUGGGAUUACGGGUGUGCGCCAUUGCGCCUGGCCUGUUGAUUUCUUUUUUAUAAAAUGUCUUUGUUUUCAUCCCUGUUAUUAUAAUAAUAAUAUAGGCAUUCAUAUGCAUAUGUGUAAAUUAUAAGUGAGUUCUUAUAUAGAUUUGGGGGACUAUUCUCCAACAUGACUGAUGAGGGCAUAGUCAAAAGACAAAUUAAUCAGGCCACCAGUCUGAUUUAUGAAGCGUCUCUGUCUUUGUCUAUUUGGGCUGCUAUAACAAAAUAUCAUAGAAUAAAGGGCUUAGUUUAUUUUCUUACUGUGCUAGAGGCUGGGAAGUCCAAGGUCAAGGUGUGAACUGAUUCAGUUUCUGGUGGGGGCUCUCCUCUUGGCUUGCAGAUGGUUGCCUUCUUCUGUGUCCUUACAUGGUUGUAGGAGCAGAGAGGGUUCUCUGGUGUUUCUUCUUAUAAGGACACAUAUCCUUUCAGAUUAGGACUUCACCCUUAGGACCUCGUUUAACCUUACCAACCUCCAUAAGGUUUCUAUCUCCAAUAAAGUCACCUUAGGGGUUGGGACUUCAACAUAUGAAUGCAGAAUGGAUGCUGGCACCUUUCAGUCCACAGCAGGCCGCAACUACUGUAUUUCAUUGUACAAUAAGAUCCCCUUGACUCUUGUGAAUUAUAAUGAACAUUAGUCUGUAAAGCAGGUCCUUGUAAUCCAGCCAGUUUGUAUACAGUAGGUAAUCAAGAACUAUGGAUUUACUGGGUUUAUUGGGUGGGGGAGAAGGGAGGGCUUUAUUCAGGUGCCAGCACUUCUUCACCUUUCUCUACAUUUGCUCAUCCUGGAGGUGGGGUUGAGCUGGGUCUGCCUUGUCCCCUCACUUCCCUCUCUGCCGAGAGAGUCCUGAGCCCACCCAUUACUGGUAGCAAAGCCCGGGGCACAAUCUCCGUUUUCCUAUUUGUAAAAUGGAGCUAACAGUAGUACCCAUCUCAUCAGAUGGCUGUAGAGAUGAAAUGAGAUAAUGUAUUUGUGGCGUUAGGACAACAGUGGUCCUGCUACAGGGAGAAGCCUGGGCCAGGAGAUAGACUAGUCUCCAGAUACCACUGAAGUAGCCUUUCGAAUACCAAUUACCUGCCUCACUUUGCAGCUGUGCAGCCCUGAACAAGUUACUUUCCCUCUCUGAUUUUCCAGUCUUUGUUACCUGUAAAUGUAACAAUGCCUUUCUCUAUGUUGUUGCGAAGUCCACAUAAAGUGACAUGAAAUUGAUUAUAAAAUACAACACAGGCUGGGCACAGUGGCUCACGCCUGUAAUCCCAGCACUUUGGGAGGUGGAGGAGGGCAGAUCACUUGAGGUUGGGAGUUCAAGACCAACCUGACUAACAUGGAGAAACCCCGUCUCUACUAAAAAUACAAAAUUAGCCAGGCAUGGUGGCACAUGACUGUAAUCCCAGCUACUCGGGAGGCUGAGGCAGGAGAAUCGCUUGAACCUGGGAGGUGGAGGUUGCAGUGAGCGGAGAUCACACCAUUGCACUCCAGCCUGGGCAACAAGAACAAAACUCCAUCUCAAAAAAAAAAAAAGUUACAACACAAAGGUUGGCAACUAUCACUAAUAAGUUUGACUGGGAAACCUCACUACUACAUUUGUAUUGUCUUAGACCAAGCUUGUGAGAUUUUUUUGUUAUUUGUUUUUGAAGCUCAUCAGCUAUCGUUAGUGUUAGUGUAUUUUAUGUGUGGCCCAAGACAAUUCUUCUUCUUCCAAUGUGGCCCAGGGAAGCCAAAAGAUUGGACACCCCUGUCUUAGACUUUUAAGGAGCUGUGACUGAAGGAUGGAGACUGGGCCAGGUGGGGCUUGGUGCAAGUUUAAGCUCUUAGGUCAUUUCUAAAUAGCAAACCUCUCAAAUAGCAUCCAACAGAUAUGCCCUAGUCUUGUCGUCUUUCCCCUGCUAUCUUUUGUACAUGUACCUUCUGCUGACUGCAGUGUGUCCUGGAGCCCUGACUUAGUUAAACCUCAGAACAUCCCUCUGCAUCCGGAUGCAUCCAGUACUCUCGGUUUGUCUGGCUCCUGCUGUACUCCCUGCAUCUGCCCAGCUGCUGACACAGCCACAUAUGGCUUCCUUUGCCCCAGCUUUCAGCAUUCUGGUGGCUUGUAGUGCUGAGUGCUAGCAAAGAAAGUGGGUACUCUCACACACUGCUGCUGAAAGGUGGAGGGUGAUGAACAGGACCAACAGCUCUAAAAGACGUUUCAAGGCCAGGUGUGGUGGCUCACACCCGCAAUGCCAGCACUUUGGGAGGCCAAGGCAGGCAGAUUACUUGAGGUCAGGAGUUCGAGGCCAAGCAGCCAACAAGGUGAAACCCCAUCUCUACCAAAAAUACAAAAAUUAGCCAGAUGUGGUAGUGCGCGCCUGUAGUCCCAGCUACUCAGGGGGCUGAAUAAGGAGAAUCACUUGAACCUGGGAGGCAGAGGUUGCAGUGAGCUGAGAUUGCGCCACUGCACUCCAGCCUCAGUGACAGAGUGAGACCUUGUCUCAAAUAAUAAUAAUAAUAAUAAUAAUAAUAAUAAUAAUAAUAAUAAUAAAAAGAUAAGGGAAAUUUGGGCAGGACUUCUCCAAGUUUAGAGUAUAUGCACCCUUUGGCCCAGCAAUCCCACUUCUCGGAGUCUGUACCCUAGAAAUAGUGAGGGAAGUUUCAAAAGAUAUUUAUUCAACAGCAUUAGUAAUGUAUCAGAACCUUGAAGACAGCCUAGCUGGUCAACAGUACAAUGCUCAGUUGCCACUAUAAAGAAUGAGAUGCUGUGUCCUUCUCAGUGCCUCAGAUCAGGAGGCACCUGGUGUUGGCUUGUCACAUUACUAAUGAUGUUUACUUCCAUCACUUGAUUAAGGUGAUGUCUGCCAGAUUUCUCUACUGUAAAGUUUCUAUUUUUUUUUCUGUGUAAUGAAUAAGUAUCUUGUCAGGAGAUGCUUUGGACCUAUGUAAGUAUCUUGUUUCUCAUCACACUUUCACCAAACUAAUUUUAGCAUUCGUGGAUAAUUCUUGUCUGAAACAGUUAUUACUACAGUGUGUGCCAAACAGUGAUUUUCUACUUCCAUCAUUACUCCUACAUUUGUCAAUUAAAAUGUUACUAUAAGGAAGAUAUUUUCUUUUAUAUUGAAAAAAUGCAAUUUUUUAAAAAUCAGUCUGGACUCUUGGAUUCUCAUUAUAUUGGUUAUAACCCAUGACUAUAAUACAUUUUGUGCUCAGAUUUUUCUAGAUUUUACAUUGGGAUGCCCUUCAAGUUGGGUUCUAUGUAUUUUUGCCAUUUUACUGUUGUUUUUUGAGCACUGCCUUACCUUUUGACCCCACAAGAUAUUCUAGGCUCAGUGUACACUUUGCCUGGUCCAGCCCUGGAAUCAGCCAUUGCUGCUGUGCUAUCCUUGACAGAACUAUAACCUGAAUUUAACAAGGAGGAAAUAUCAGGCAAACACAAAUGGAGUGACAUUCUAGUUAACAACUGAUCAGCACUCUUUAAAAAUGAAAGACAAAGAAUGACUGAGGAAUGAGUUCAGAUUAAAAGAGACGAAGGGACACGCUCCAACUGUAACUGCAACGCAUGACUGCGGGCUGCGUUCUGCAUUGGAAAAAAGUGUUACUGAUGAAAUUUGAAUAUCGUCUCUAGAUUGAGCAACUAAGCAAUAAUAUUGUAUUAAAUUGCUAGAUUGGGCAAUAGUAUUGUACUAAAGUUAAUUUCCUGACACAGUUAAAUAAUUGUACUGUGUAUAUAAGAUGUCAAAAUUGAGAAGUUGCAAGGCUAAAUGGAAUUUCUCAGUUUUUUAAACUCUUACUUUGUACAUCUGAAAUUAUUUUAAAAUAAAAACUAAAAAAAAAAAACCUAAAUACAAACCAUGAGAUAGAUUUAUAUGUACUAAUAUGGGAUGGUGUCCACAAUCAAUUGGAAAAGAUAAGUUGUAGUACCAUUUGUAUAGAAUUGGCCCAUUUUUGUAGGAGCAAGACAGAACAAUAUAGUGCACAUACAUAUUUAUCUACACAUGGGAGAAAUUCUGUGAAGGGUAUGUACUUCCUGUUAACAGACAUUUCUGGGAAAUGUGUUUGGAAGGUAUGAGACACCUUUUACUUUUUGAUGUCUCCUGAUAAUGGGAAAACAGUAAGAAUGUGGGUUGUAUGCAUGAGUGUGAUUCUACACGUGUAGGUUUAGGUUUGAUGUACUCCCAUCCAGCUUAUUCUCUUUUGCAUUUUCCAGCACAGGCAGUGCUGUGCAAUGUCUUGCCCAGUGGACACCCACCUAAUUUUCACUCCACAAACCACUGUCCUACAUCUGAUCCUUAACAAAGUAUGUUAGUUGUAGACACAAAGGUGGCCUACAUUUCAUACUUGUUGACAGUAAUGCUAGUUGACUCAUCUUACCUUUGUCUGAGGAGGCUGGAAAUUGUUUGUCCUCAGAAACUUUAGGGAGAAAUUUAUUACUAAGAUUGUAUCAUUUUGGUCUCCCCAGAGAAAUGAAAAAUUAGAAAUUGGCCAUGUGACAAUCGUUGCAUUUACCUCUUUAAGGAGCAGUGAUUCUUUAAGUGGUGCUUGAUUUAUCUAAACCCGAUUAAUUAGUGAACGGUCAUCUGUUUCUCCCAGGAAUUUUUAAUGAUCAUUAGGCUUUUGUAGUUACUGUGAAAUUUUGUUUACGUGGAUUUAUUUUUGUGCAGGAUUGUAUACAGGGCAGAUGCUCCUUAAUUUAAGAAGGGAGAUGUGAGAACAAAAGUGUCUUCUCUUGAGUGAGGGCCUGUUAUGUGCCCUGACUUGUUACAAAUAUCGACUAAUGUAACCUUCUCUACCAUGUACCUUUCUUCCAAUUUAUCAAUGAGGAAACUGAUGCAAAAAUGUAUGUUCCCACAGGCUCUGGUGUGUUCACUGAGUUAGCUCCAGAAAGAACUGUCCCCUUCUCAUGCCUGUUCCCUACUUCUUUUGCAGCUAAUUCUCCGAAAUGGUUUCUGUCUUCAGCUUUCUGGGCUGCCCCAUCACCUGUGUUGCUUCUAAAUGUUAGUUUCAUUGCUGCCUUCUGGGUUCCUCUGCUUCUCUCUGACAUGAUGUCUCUACGGAUGCAUCUCUCAGUAAUGAUUAUAAUGGUGGUGAUGAUAAUAAAAAGAGAAUACACAAGUGUUUUUAUCAAUCCCUGACCAUGCUGGGCACAAUGCUAAGCAUGUGCAGGCAUGAUGUCUUUAUUCUGCCCACUCAGCUGAUGAGAUUGAAGGGGCUCCCUGCAGGUUGGGGCCUGAAAAACACAGCCAGGUCCAUCUAGGAACUAGAAGCUAUGGUCAGGCUUACAUGCUUUUUUCAUAUCAGUGUUCAUGUAGAUGUUUAAGCUCUUGCAGUAGGUUUUUGCAAGCUAGUGAACGCUGCCAAAUUAUGCUCGCCACACAAUUGCAGCCACCUAUUCCCAGGCAGUAUAAAUAUAUGGCUGAACUAACAUUAAUACCUAUCACUGUUUUAUCAAGUGACAUAAUCAAGAUAAUUAUGAAGUAUCCAAAUAUUAAUUUUCAUAGAUUAAAAGCAGAUAAAGUAUUAGAAAUCUGCUUAUAUCAUUAGCAGAAACAUUUUUGGGGGCCACAGGGUAAGGAAAAGAGGGGAAAAUAUUGUCCUUCAACAAAAGUAAUCAUAUUCUAGUAAGUAUAAUAAAAGAAAUGACAAGCUUUUCAGAAUUUCCACGACUAAAAAUUGUUUUAGCUGCAGCUAAAAAAGCAUCACAUAACAAAAUAUCUCUUGUUUAAAAUAUUUGCUACAAAAAAGUCCUAUUCUAUAUGUCCUGCAUAAGAACAAGUAUCUUUAUAUAAGAAAUGUGUUUAAUAGCCCUCUUUCAUUCUUUUUCUGAAGCCCUCCCUGUUAAAUUGCACCCAAAGGGGAAACAUUAAUUGAACUGUAAAGCUUUUUUUUUUUCUGUCUAAAGACAUUAAAGACAUAUAGGUGGUAUUAAAUGAACCUUUAACUAGAGCUCUGUGAGUUUUCAAAAUAGAUUUUAUUUUUCUUUACCAUAGGCCAACAGAGAUUUUGAGAAACACAUUGAAGGAUCUGUUAACACUUGAUAUACCCAAUAAAAGCAGUGGUUGUGCCAGUGCUGAUCUGUCUUGAUGUGAAUGUGAACAAUGGGAACCUGAGCUGAGCAGUUAAUGCUAGGGUGACAGAAACUGGACCUCUCCCAAGACAUGUGACAGAGUAAUACAGCAGCCAACUUCUUCGCCAAAUUAAAGUUUUACAAGAUUUAACCUGUCAUCAAGACCUGGGAUUUUGGUG
rnacentral:lncRNA from 1 species